AAAGUCCUGUCAUUUUGCCAGUUACAGUUGUGGCUGUAGAAGGUGUCAGCAUCUCCUGUAGAGUGGGUGAGUACUGCUAUUACAUUAGCAUGAGUAGUUGGUAGAUCUAUAUCAUUUUGACUAUUGGAGGAUGAACUAUGUGAACUGUCCUUACAGUGAUCUCCUAUGUUGUCAGAGUUGCUCGGAGGUUGUGUGGCUAAGUAAGCACACCAAAACCUGUUAGUACUAAGUCUGACCCAUCCAUGCAGCACGUUCAUUGUCUGAACAUGAGACAUUGAUUCCCUGAGUAAGUGGAUGUUGUCCUGUUACCACAGCCAUUAUACGUUUAAGAGAAAUGCCCUAGUUCACAUUGGUGUUUAUUUUUCUGGACGUGGGACUGGUGAGCACGCUUGGCCAAUAUAGACAUAGGUGUGAUAUUACAUUCGAAUCACGAUGGGUGUCUGUGAGACCCUUGUAACCAAAUACUGUUGGAGUGUGGCAGUCUAUAUAUAUAUGUUUUGUGUUUGUUCCUUUAAGAGAAUUACUCUAUCUAUUGUCUUUUGUCUUUUGUAGUAAUCAAUGUAUGAUGCUUUCAAAAACUGUAUAAAAAUCGAAGCUUGUCUUGAGAAAGAUCCGCGAAUUAGGAUCGAAACGUCGACUAAUUGAGCCGAAUAUACACUGCAAUAAAGCUGUUAUGAACAAACCAGAA